GGGUACAGGAUGAGUAACGCGUGAGAAAUCUGCCUGGUAGUGGGGGAUAGCCCAGAGAAAUUUGGAUUAAUACCGCAUACGCCCUACGGGGGAAAGCAGGGGACCUUCGGGCCUUGCGCUAUCAGAUGAGUCUGCGUCGGAUUAGCUAGUUGGUGGGGUAAUGGCCUACCAAGGCGACGAUCCGUAGCUGGUCUGAGAGGAUGAUCAGCCACACUGGGACUGAGACACGGCCCAGACUCCUACGGGAGGCAGCAGUGGGGAAUAUUGCACAAUGGGCGCAAGCCUGAUGCAGCCAUGCCGCGUGUGUGAAGAAGGCCUUAGGGUUGUAAAGCACUUUCAGCAGUGAGGAAAGGUGUGUAGUUAAUAACUGCAUGCUGUGACGUUAACUGCAGAAGAAGGACCGGCUAACUCCGUGCCAGCAGCCGCGGUAAUACGGAGGGUCCGAGCGUUAAUCGGAAUUACUGGGCGUAAAGCGCGCGUAGGCGGUUAUUUAAGUCAGAUGUGAAAGCCCCGGGCUCAACCUGGGAACUGCACCUGAUACUGGAUAACUAGAGUACAGAAGAGGGUGGUGGAAUUUCCUGUGUAUCGGUUCAAUGCGUAGAUAUAGAAACCCU
rnacentral:rRNA from 1 species